UACGUAGGGGGCAAGCGUUGUCCGGAAUCAUUGGGCGUAAAGAGCGUGUAGGCGGCUCGGUAAGUCCGCUGUGAAAGUCCAGGGCUCAACCCUGGAAUGCCGGUGGAAACUGUCGAGCUAGAGUCCGGGAGAGGCGAGUGGAAUUCCUGGUGUAGCGGUGAAAUGCGCAGAUAUCAGGAGGAACACCAAUGGCGAAGGCAGCUCGCUGGGACGGUACUGACGCUGAGACGCGAAAGCGUGGGGAGCAACAGG
rnacentral:rRNA from 1 species